AUCGCUUCUCGCGCUUUUGGCUAAGAUCAAGUGUAGUAUCUGUUCUUAUCAGUUUAAUAUCUGAUACGUCCCCUAUCUGGGGACCAUAUAUUAAAUGGAUUUUUGGAACAGGGAGAUGGAAGAAGAGCUUGCUCUGUCCCUCCACGCAUCGACCUGGUAUUGCAGUACCUCCAGGACCGGUGCACCUCUC
rnacentral:snRNA from 1 species